rnacentral:rRNA from 1 species
UAUGUAGGGGGCAAGCGUUGUCCGGAAUCAUUGGGCGUAAAGAGCGUGUAGGCGGCCCGGUAAGUCCGUUGUGAAAGUCCAGGGCUCAACCCUGGAAAGCCGAUGGAUACUGCAGGGCUAGAGUGCAGAAGGGGCAACUGGAAUUCUCGGUGUAGCGGUGAAAUGCGUAGAUAUCGAGAGGAACACCUGCGGCGAAGGCGGGUUGCUGGGCUGACACUGACGCUGAGGCGCGAAAGCGUGGGGAGCGAACAGG